CGGCCGCAGUACCCUGACUGUGCUAAGGUAGCAUAAUAAUUUGGCCUUUAAUUGGGGUCUGGAAUGAAUGAAUUCAUGGAAAAAGACUGUCUUUUACUUAUUAGGUGAAAAUUCCUAAAAAAAAACAUUAGACGAGAAGACCCUUAGAAUUAUGUUUUUGUUGGGGCAACACUGUUAGAGUAAAGCUGACAGAUUAAGAUUAUAAGAAAGAAUUUAAUUACCUAAGGGAUAACAGCAUAAUUUUUUUUUCUAGAUUAUGACCUCGAUGUUGGAUUAGGUAAUUCAUUCACUAG
rnacentral:rRNA from 1 species